UAUUGGACAAUGGGCGCAAGCCUGAUCCAGCAAUGCCGCGUGUGUGAAGAAGGCCUUCGGGUUGUAAAGCACUUUUAUCAGGAGCGAAACUACUGCCGGUUAAUACCCGGCGGAACUGACGGUACCUGAGGAAUAAGCACCGGCUAACUUCGUGACAGCAGCCGCGGUCAUACGUAGGACCCAAGCGUUAUUCGGAUUGAUUGGGCGUAAAGAGUUGCGUAGGCGGUUUGUUAAGCGAAUAGUGAAAUCUUGUGGCUCAACCAUAAGGCUAUUAUUCGAACUGGCAAACUCGAGAAUGGAAGAGAUAUCUGGAAUUCCCAGUGUAGGAGUGAAAUCCGUAGAUAUUGGGAGGAACACCAAUGGCGUAGGCAGGAUAUUGGUCCAUUUCUGACGCUAAGGCACGGAAGCGUGGGGAGCGAA
rnacentral:rRNA from 1 species